rnacentral:rRNA from 1 species
AGCGAACGCUGGCGGCAGGCUUAACACAUGCAAGUCGAGCGGGCGUAGCAAUACGUCAGCGGCAGACGGGUGAGUAACGCGUGGGAACAUACCUUUUGGUUCGGAACAACACAGGGAAACUUGUGCUAAUACCGGAUAAGCCCUUACGGGGAAAGAUUUAUCGCCGAAAGAUUGGCCCGCGUCUGAUUAGCUAGUUGGUGAGGUAACGGCUCACCAAGGCGACGAUCAGUAGCNGGUCUGAGAGGAUGAUCAGCCACAUUGGGACUGAGACACGGCCCAAACUCCUACGGGAGGCAGCAGUGGGGAAUAUUGGACAAUGGGCGCAAGCCUGAUCCAGCCAUGCCGCGUGAGUGAUGAAGGCCCUGGGUUGUAAAGCUCUUUUGUGCGGGAAGAUAAUGACGGUACCGCAAG